UCGAGCGAUCUUCUUCGGAAGGGAGCGGCGGACGGGUGAGUAACGCGUGGGUAACCUGCCCUGUACACACGGAUAACAUACCGAAAGGUAUGCUAAUACGGGAUAACAUAAGAAAGUCGCAUGGCUUUCUUAUCAAAGCUUUUGCGGUACAGGAUGGACCCGCGUCUGAUUAGCUAGUUGGUAAGGUAACGGCUUACCAAGGCGACGAUCAGUAGCCGACCUGAGAGGGUGAUCGGCCACAUUGGAACUGAGACACGGUCCAAACUCCUACGGGAGGCAGCAGUGGGGAAUAUUGCACAAUGGGCGAAAGCCUGAUGCAGCAACGCCGCGUGAGCGAUGAAGGCCUUCGGGUCGUAAAGCUCUGUCCUCAAGGAAGAUAAUGACGGUACUUGAGGAGGAAGCCCCGGCUAACUACGUGCCAGCAGCCGCGGUAAUACGUAGGGGGCUAGCGUUAUCCGGAAUUACUGGGCGUAAAGGGUGCGUAGGCGGUCUUUCAAGUCAGAAGUGAAAGGCUACGGCUCAACCGUAGUAAGCUUUUGAAACUGUAAGACUUGAGUGCAGGAGAGGAGAGUGGAAUUCCUAGUGUAGCGGUGAAAUGCGUAGAUAUUAGGAGGAACACCAGUUGCGAAGGCGGCUCUCUGGACUGUAACUGACGCUGAGGCACGAAAGCGUGGGGAGCAAACAGG
rnacentral:rRNA from 1 species